rnacentral:rRNA from 1 species
AUUGAACGCUGGCGGCAGGCCUAACACAUGCAAGUCGAGCGGGGUUUUCGGACCUAGCGGCGGACGGGUGAGUAAUGCGUAGGAAGCUGCCCGAUAGAGGGGGAUACCAGUUGGAAACGACUGUUAAUACCGCAUAAUGUCUACGGACCAAAGUGUGGGACCUUCGGGCCACAUGCUAUCGGAUGCGCCUACGUGGGAUUAGCUAGUUGGUGAGGUAAUGGCUCACCAAGGCGACGAUCUCUAGCUGGUUUGAGAGGAUGAUCAGCCACACUGGAACUGAGACACGGUCCAGACUCCUACGGGAGGCAGCAGUGGGGAAUAUUGGACAAUGGGCGCAAGCCUGAUCCAGCCAUGCCGCGUGUGUGAAGAAGGCCUUCGGGUUGUAGAGCACUUUCAGUAGGGAGGAAGGGUGUUGUGUUAAUAGCACAGCAUUUUGACGUUACCUACAGAAGAAGCACCGGCUAACUCUGUGCCAGCAGCCGCCGUAACAC